rnacentral:rRNA from 1 species
CGGAGAGUUUGAUCCUGGCUCAGGACGAACGCUGGCGGCGUGCCUAAUACAUGCAAGUCGAACGAACUCUGGUAUUGAUUGGUGCUUGCAUCAUGAUUUACAUUUGAGUGAGUGGCGAACUGGUGAGUAACACGUGGGAAACCUGCCCAGAAGCGGGGGAUAACACCUGGAAACAGAUGCUAAUACCGCAUAACAACUUGGACCGCAUGGUCCGAGCUUGAAAGAUGGCUUCGGCUAUCACUUUUGGAUGGUCCCGCGGCGUAUUAGCUAGAUGGUGGGGUAACGGCUCACCAUGGCAAUGAUACGUAGCCGACCUGAGAGGGUAAUCGGCCACAUUGGGACUGAGACACGGCCCAAACUCCUACGGGAGGCAGCAGUAGGGAAUCUUCCACAAUGGGCGAAAGCCUGAUGGAGCAAUGCCGCGUGAGUGAAGAAGGUUUUCGGAUCGUAAAACUCUGUUGUUGAAGAAGAACAUGCGUGAGAGUAACUGUUCACGUACUGACGGUAUUCAACCAGAAAGCCACGGCUAACUACGUGCCAGCAGCCGCGGUAAUACGUAGGUGGCAAGCGUUGUCCGGAUUUAUUGGGCGUAAAGAGAAUGUAGGCGGUUUAUUAAGUUUGAAGUGAAAGCCCUCGGCUCAACCGAGGAAGUGCUUCGAAAACUGGUAAACUUGAGUGCAGAAGAGGAAAGUGGAACUCCAUGUGUAGCGGUGGAAUGCGUAGAUAUAUGGAAGAACGCCAGUGGCGAAGGCGGCUUUCUGGUCUGUAACUGACGCUGAGAUUCGAAAGCAUGGGUAGCAAACAGGAUUAGAUACCCUGGUAGUCCAUGCCGUAAACGAUGAGUGCUAAGUAUUGGA